AUUGCUUGGGCUGUGGCAACAGGUGGAGCUGUUUCUGUCUCCAGCCAGCUGGGCAUAGGGUUCCUUCUACUCCACUCAGCUCGAUCCACUCUGCCAACUCCAGCCCCUAGUGAAGUGGAAAGAAGAGACAGAGAAGACAGGAAGAAAUAGACAUGGAAAGAGGAGAAGCCCGGUGUCUACAGUGUUUCCAUGUGGUGCUGGAACUCAAACUCAUAGUCUUAUGCACAGCAUAGCACUCAGGCUCCACCCUUGAGGAGUCAUGGAGGACUUGGAACAUUAGUCACUUCAUGGAGCUUGAAGAGCUUUGUGGCACGUGAAUUGGAAGAGAAUUAUGACUUUUGAUAAAAACCUCUGUGACUCCCUGCCCUACUUACCUGGUGAGAAUAGUCCUGCUGUUAAGCUGUUUUUCAUUACUGAACAAGGUGAAGAUGGCCAACCUUUAGCCAAGUUUAUCCCAAGUGACAUAAAGCAGAUUUGUUCUCAAAUCUGUGUGUGUGUGUGUGUGUGUGUGUGUGUGUGUUUGUGGUGGUGGUGGUGGGGUACCAUUAGGGUCAACCUAGUGGCUGCUGAGGGAGGGUGUACAGAAAAAGCUGGGGUGCUCAGGGCGGCUCAUAAUCCCUUCACCAGGGAGAUAUUGGUUUAUUGACCCUGGAGGGAUGUUAAAUAUUAGUUAUAAACAGAUAAGAACACCACCACCUGGUACUGGGGAGGGAGGGGGAAGGAAGAAGCUGAGGGCAUAUCUGGGUACAGUGGAAGGAGGACACUGUGUACUCCAUAAGGGCCCACUGAGGUCAUGGGACUUUGAUCUUGCUAGAAAUACUCA